UACGAAGGGGACUAGCGUUGUUCGGAAUCACUGGGCGUAAAGCGCACGUAGGCGGAUUUGUAAGUCAGGGGUGAAAUCCCGGGGCUCAACCUCGGAACUGCCUUUGAUACUGCGAAUCUUGAGUCCGAUAGAGGUGGGUGGAAUUCCUAGUGUAGAGGUGAAAUUCGUAGAUAUUAGGAAGAACACCGGUGGCGAAGGCGGCC
rnacentral:rRNA from 1 species